rnacentral:tRNA from 2 species
GGCGACAUAGCUCAGUUGGGAGAGCGCACGACUGAAGUUCGUGCGGUCCCUGGUUCGAUCCCGGGUGGUGCCA